AACGAACGCUGGCGGCAGGCUUAACACAUGCAAGUCGAGCGCAUCCUUCGGGGUUAGCGGCGGACGGGUGAGUAACGCGUGGGAACGUGCCCUCUUCUACGGAAUAGCCUCGGGAAACUGAGAGUAAUGCCGUAUACGCCCGCAAGGGGAAAGAUUUAUCGGAGGAGGAUCGGCCCGCGUUGGAUUAGGUAGUUGGUGGGGUAACGGCCUACCAAGCCGACGAUCCAUAGCUGGUUUGAGAGGAUGAUCAGCCACACUGGGACUGAGACACGGCCCAGACUCCUACGGGAGGCAGCAGUGGCGAAUCUUGGACAAUGGGGGCAGCCCUGAUCCAGCCAUGCCGCGUGAUCGAUGAAGGCCUUAGGGUUGUAAAGAUCUUUCAGCUGGGAAGAUAAUGACGGUACCAGCAGAAGAAGCCCCGGCUAACUCCGUG
rnacentral:rRNA from 1 species